CAGCGCCACGAGUGGGAACUACAAUUAUUGGGUCUAAAGCGUCCGUAGCCGGUUAAGUAAAUUUCUUGUGAAAUUGUUGCGCUCAACGUAACAGCGUGCAGGAAAGACUGCUUGACUCGGGACUGGGAGGAGUUAGAAGUAUAUUUGGGGUAGCGGUAAAAUGUUAUAAUCCUUAAUAGACUACCUGUGGCGAAAGCGUCUAACCAGAACAGGUCCGACGGUGAGGGACGAAAGCUAGGGGAGCAAACCGGAUUAGAUACCCGAGUAGUCC
rnacentral:rRNA from 1 species